UACGUAGGGGGCAAGCGUUAUCCAGAUUUACUGGGCGUAAAGCGCGUGUAGGCGGCUGGUUAGGCGUGAUGUGAAAUCUUCCGGCUCAACCGGAAAACUGCAUUGCGAACCGGCCUGGCUAGAGUGCAGGAGAGGGAAGCGGAAUUCCAGGUGUAGCGGUGAAAUGCGUAGAUAUCGGGAAGAACCCCCGUGGCGAAGGCGGCUCUCUGGGACGGUACUGACGCUGAGACGCGAAAGCGUGGGGAGCGAACAGG
rnacentral:rRNA from 1 species